CAUCAUCUUCAUCUUGCAUCUGCACAACACAAUACUGCUGUUUUUUUCCCUGAAAGCAUUUUAUUUAUUCCAAGUCAUGGGAAAGCAAAUGGGUUACAUGCACUAUUGGAUCGAGGAGGUUGUUCCAUCCCCUCUCAUAUUUCCUCGAAAGCCUUCGAAUGCGCCAAAACUCGAAACUAUUGCAGAAGAAGGAUCUGAUCAAAAGUUGAAUUCCGUUAACAAGAGGGUGUUUAGUUUUCUUCUUCCUGUCUUCAUUUCUUUGGGUUCCUAUCUUUUGAUAAACAGAUAUAAUGUUAUUAUUUGAUUGGAAGAACUCAAAGACUCUCAUCACGUUCUUGAAGGGCGUAUCUUGUAAGAUUAUGAUCAAGUAGUCUGUUUCUUUGUAAACCAGUUUUAACGUUGAGUUCUAUCUAAUGUGAUUAUGAUGAAGAUAUUAGAUCUUUAAAGAUGGAGUCAAUGGCAACAAGGAGAUGAACUACAUGUAGCAUUGGCUUUUCAAGAACAUAGCUAAAGGAAUUGGGAAGCAAUCAUAGAGACGAAUGUCCAACCUUUAUAUUUCUUCCUUUUCAAUAUAGACGAACAUGAACUCUGAAAUACUCUUUCGACGCAAUCAUGAAGUUAUUUUGUAGUUGGUUACUU
rnacentral:lncRNA from 1 species